rnacentral:rRNA from 1 species
CGCGCUUCACCUAGGCCUUGGCCGGCGAGUCUCGCGGGAAACUGAGGAUAGUACCCGGUAGACCACUUAUCCGGGAAUGGUUAGUGGUUAAAAUGAUUCGUCGCCGAGGAUGGGACUGCGGCCUAUCCGCUUGUUGGUGAGGUAAUGGACCACCGAGGCGAUGACAGGUACGGGCUCUGAGAGGAGAAGCCCGGAUAUGGGUACUGAGACAAGGACCCAGGCCCUAUGGGGCGCAGCCGGCGAGAAAACUUUGCAAUGUGCGAAAGCACAACAAGGUUAAUCCGAGUGAUUUCUGCUAAAGGAAUCUUUUGUUAGUUCUAAAAAUACUAGUGAAUAAGGGGUGGGCCAGUUCUGGUGUCUGCCGCCGCGGUAAAACCGGCCCCUCAAGUGGUCAGGAGGAUUAUUGGGCCUAAAGCAUCCUUAGCCUGUUCUAUAAGUUUGCGGUUAAAUCUAUACACUCAACACAAAGGCUGCCUUAGAUACUGUACAACUAGGGAGUGGGAGAGGUAGACGGUACUCGAUAGGAAGGGCUAAAAUCCUUUGAUCUAUUGAUGACCACCUGUGUCGAAGGCGGUCUACCUGAACUCGUUCUACGGACAGGGAUGAAAGCUGGGGGAGCAGACCCGAGUAGAUACCCGGGUAGUCCCAGCUGUAGACGAUGCAUACUCGAUGAUGCAAUGGCAUAGAGCUAUUGCAGUAUCUCACCGAAGCCGUUAAGUCUGCCGCCUGGGAAGUACGUGCGCAAGUAUGAACUUACAUGAAUUGACAGGCC